rnacentral:rRNA from 1 species
CCUACGGGUGACAGCAGUGAGGAAUAUUGGUCAAUGGACGAGAGUCUGAACCAGCCAAGUAGCGUGAAGGAUGACUGCCCUAUGGGUUGUAAACUUCUUUUAUAUGGGAAUAAAACGUUCCACGUGUGGGAUUUUGUAUGUACCAUAUGAAUAAGGAUCGGCUAACUCCGUGCCAGCAGCCGCGGUAAUACGGAGGAUCCGAGCGUUAUCCGGAUUUAUUGGGUUUAAAGGGAGCGUAGGUGGAUUGUUAAGUCAGUUGUGAAAGUUUGCGGCUCAACCGUAAAAUUGCAGUUGAAACUGGCAGUCUUGAGUAGAGUAGAGGUGGGCGGAAUUCGUGGUGUAGCGGUGAAAUGCUUAGAUAUCACGAAGAACUCCGAUUGCGAAGGCAGUUCACUGGACUGCAACUGACACUGAGGCUCGAAAGUGUGGGUAUCAAACAGGAUUAGAUACCCGAGUAGUC